UCUGUGUGGGAUUCCUGUUUAAAUUGUUCAUACGAAGUAAAUGCUGUAAAAGUGAAUGCUGCAACAGAAAGUUUGUCUAUGACAAACUGAUUCUGGAGGAGGAGGGGAAAGUCCUGAAGAAGGUGCUGAGGAAAUCAGCAACAGACCAGUUGAUUAAUAAAGUCCAGACCAAGAUACAGGAGGGACACUGGGGGGAGUGUUUCAAUGUAGCUGAGGAGCUGAUUAAAGAAUUAACCCCACCAGACGCUCGAGGACAAGCAGAGGAACAGGGCCCGGAGAAUAUUCCACUCAAAGAGGCUUUAGGAGCAGACCAAACAGAAGACGUGGAGUCUAAGGUGUGACCAGUCACUUCCUGUUCCAGAGUUUAGGAAUUUGAUUUUGAGCCACUGUGUUUCAAAUUGUAAUUGUUUUUAAUUGAUCUUAGUGGUUUUUGCAGAGAUAUAAAGACUACUUAUAUAUUCUACUCAAGUAAAAGUACUGUUACUUUAAUGAAAAUUUACUUAAGUACAAGUAAAAGUACCAGUUUAAAAAUGUACUCAAGUAAAAGUUACUUAGUUACUUUUUUUAACAACGCAUCUCUUGUGUGUCGUGAUUAAAGGACGAGAGGAUUUUAAUCUCAAAGUUUUUUUAAUUAAAAGCAAAUCUUUACAAAGAUUUAUUUUUUCAGAUAAAUAUUUUCUUUUCU